GGUGUAACUGUAUCGGGGGAAAAAAAGCGGGGAAAAAUGAGGAUUCGGAAAGAAGUACUGCCAAAAAACGGUCGACAAACCGGGUAACUUCGCAGGCCGCCGUGCCCGCCCCCGAACGAGACGAGAGCGUACGUACAUAAGGUAAUUACCUACCUGGGGGUAAUUUUUGUGUGACACAGGAACGCGCGGCAGUUUAACGAAGAGAUUAUAGGAUUACCGUCGAACUGUUCGGUGCAAAGUGGCGGAUUUUCGGAGCCGGCGAAGGGGCAGCAGGAUCAAACGAAAUUUAAUCAUGCGGAAGCCGGGCAAUCAAUUCGCCGGCUUACGGCCACGGCUUAAACGUUGUAAAUUUUCAUAUCUCGCGACUCAGUUUACCCGGCGCGGCCCUCCGAAACACGAUGGAGAGCCCGACAAUUAUUAAAGUGAUAACUAGUUUUAAUAAAGGGGGACGGGAUUACGCGGGCGCGGGCUAUAUUAAAAUGCGGGACGGCCGCGGGACGAUCCGCGGGAAAAUCCCUUUUACGAGGGCCACGUGGCCGAA